AUUGGAGCACCAUGGAAAACCUCAUCCAGCCUGGACAGACAAAGAUUGACAGAUUGAAAGAUUGAGAGCUCUUUCUCUAUCUCAUGGGUAGUCGUGGCUGGCCAUUCUUAGUGGAGCAAUUUGUCUGGUAAAUUCCAAUAACAAACAAGACUGUCAUACUAACUAGUUAUGCAACACCCCAGUGGUUGUUUAAACUUUCAAAACCACUUUCAUCAUGGAAUGGUCAAACUCUGGAACAGUUUUCCCAUUGAAGUUGUUGAACAGGAGUAUAAAUCCCUGGAAAUGUUAAAAGAAUAUCUUAGGUUGGGAGGGAUGGCUUGAG
rfam:Eurypyga helias contig62518, whole genome shotgun sequence.